rnacentral:rRNA from 1 species
UACAGAGGUCUCAAGCGUUGUCCGGAUUCAUUGGGCGUAAAGGGUGCGUAGGUGGCGUCGUAAGUCGGGUGUGAAAUCUCGGGGCUUAACUCCGAAACUGCAUUCGAUACUGCGGUGCUUGAGGACUGGAGAGGAGACUGGAAUUUACGGUGUAGCAGUGAAAUGCGUAGAGAUCGUAAGGAAGACCAGUGGCGAAGGCGGGUCUCUGGACAGUUCCUGACACUGAGGCACGAAGGCCAGGGGAGCAAACGGG